UGCUUGUGGACGAUGGGUCUGGCUUAACUAAGAAGUGUAGGCAAUAACUGUUAGGUGAGCCCACAUGACUUAGAGACCAAGUGGCUGCAACAUGCUUAGAGAAGCAUCUAAGCAAAGAGUUGUCCACACAUUGGUGUUUAUUCAUGUUACCAAUAACCAUUAGGUGAGGUGUAUGGUAUCGGUGGGACUUUAGUACCCACUAGAAUCUCAAUUAUCGCAUUAGGAUUUUUGUUUCUUCACCCGGACAGUGUGAAAAAUCUGAUAAAAUAGUG
rnacentral:lncRNA from 1 species